rnacentral:lncRNA from 1 species
GGUCAUCUGUUAUACUAGUGCAAAAAACAUGAUUUUAUAACAACUUAUUAUGCCGAUUCUAAUCCACUCAGCAUAAUAAGUGAUGUAGUGAUAAAGUUGUAAUUAUGGUAAGACUUUCUAUAAUGAUUAUCAAUAAAAUCAGUAUAAAAAUGAAUAGGGUGGUCUUUUCAUAAUAAAUUAGAAUACUUUUUAUAAUGGUUGUUACCUAGACCCAAC